AGAGUUUGAUCAUGGCUCAGAGCGAACGCUGGCGGCAGGCCUAACACAUGCAAGUCGAGCGCCCCGCAAGGGGAGCGGCAGACGGGUGAGUAACACGUGGGAACGUGCCCUUCAGUUCGGAACAACCCAGGGAAACUUGGGCUAAUACCGGAUACGUCCGUAAGGAGAAAGAUUUAUCGCUGAAGGAUCGGCCCGCGUCUGAUUAGCUUGUUGGUGAGGUAACGGCUCACCAAGGCUACGAUCAGUAGCUGGUCUGAGAGGAUGAUCAGCCACACUGGGACUGAGACACGGCCCAGACUCCUACGGGAGGCAGCAGUGGGGAAUAUUGGACAAUGGGCGCAAGCCUGAUCCAGCCAUGCCGCGUGAGUGAUGAAGGCCCUAGGGUUGUAAAGCUCUUUCGGCGGGGAAGAUAAUGACGGUACCCGCAGAAGAAGCCCCGGCCAACUUCGUGCCAGCAGCCGCGGUAAUACGAAGGGGGCUAGCGUUGCUCGGAAUCACUGGGCGUAAAGCGCACGUAGGCGGAUCGUUAAGUCGGGGGUGAAAUCCUGGAGCUCAACUCCAGAACUGCCUUCGAUACUGGCGAUCUUGAGUCCGGAAGAGGUGAGUGGAACUCCUAGUGUAGAGGUGGAAUUCGUAGAUAUUAGGAAGAACACCAGUGGCGAAGGCGGCUCACUGGUCCGGUACUGGCGCUGAGGUGCGA
rnacentral:rRNA from 1 species